rnacentral:tRNA from 1 species
UGGAUCACCUCCUAACAGGGAGACAAUAACUGAUCGUGAUGUCUGAGUACUUUAUUCUCAGGCCAUGAUCCUGUCAUCUCGAAGGUCGAUCGGUACCUCAACUUCAAGGUUGGGAUGAAUGAGAUACCUCGGUAAGUCAUUCAUGCUCAGGUCUUGAUUUACAGCUCAUAAGCUUCAUAUAGGUCUCCGCUAAGCGGGUUACACUCAUGGCCGUAAGCUCAGGCUGUCAGAGCGCACCCCUGAUAAGGGUGAGGUCCUGAUUUCAAUUCCAGGAUGGCCCAUUAGCAUUUGGGGGUUUAGCUCAUUUGGUAGAGCCCUUGUUUUGCAAGCAGGAUGUCAGCAGUUGGAGUCCGCUAACCUCCACUAACACCUGAACUCCUCAACCAGGAAGCAAUUCUUGAGAGGUGACGUAGACGUUGUUCGCUGAUCAAACGAGCUCGAGCGAUCGAGCAGAGUUCAGCCUCAGAGCAUUCCAAAGGAUGGUUGCCCUGAUGCUGAAUUCAGCGAAGGAGCCUCGCGAGAGGUUUUUUCAAUGAGAUUCAGCAGAACCUUGACAACUGCAUAGGUGAGUCUGGAAAGACAAAGCAUCUCAUAGAGGCGAGUCAAUCAAGUCUGAUGAGCCAUCAUUGAUGGAUCGUUAUCAGGUUUGAGUUGAUUCGUGAUUCUAUUUUUGAGAGCCGAGACCUUCUAGCGUUCUUCCAACGGCGCCGAGCCGACGGGAGUCUGAUCCUUAUUUGCGGCAGAGCCGCUUGCGAUUGGGAGACCGAUCAAUAGCGAAGCUGCUUACCAAAUUCGAGAGAAUAGGCCUCAACAGCCUGAAGCGUUAGGAGGAUUAAUUUGGUCAAGCUACAAAGGGCUCACGGUGGAUACCUUGGCACACAGAGGCGAUGAAGGA